rnacentral:rRNA from 1 species
CCUACGGGAGGCAGCAGUGGGGGAUAUUGCACAAUGGGGGGAACCCUGAUGCAGCGACGCCGCGUGGGUGAAGGAGUGCUUCGGCAUGUAAAGCCCUAUCGGCAGGGAAGAAGCAAGACGGUACCUGACUAAGAAGCCCCGGCUAACUACGUGCCAGCAGCCGCGGUAAUCCGUAGGGGGCGAGCGUUGUCCGGAGUCACUGGGUGUAAAGGGAGCGUAGACGGCCAUGCAAGCCAGGGGUGAAAGCCCAGGGCGCAACCCCGGGACUGCCCUUGGAACUGUGCGGCUAGAGUGCGGGAGGGGCAGGUGGAAUUCCUGGUGUAGCGGUGAAAUGCGUAGAGAUCAGGAGGAACACCGGCGGCGAAGGCGGCUUGUUGGACUGCGACUGACGUUGAGGCGCGAAAGCGUGGGGAGCGAACAGGAUUAGAUACCCGGGUAGUC